rnacentral:lncRNA from 1 species
CAAAUGGCCCGACUACUCCUCGUCCACCCGGUGCUGUCCGCCGUCGUCCUCGGCCUCCUCGUCGCACUGUCCACCCCUGGCGCCUCCGCUCGCCCCUGCCGGAGCUUCCUCAUCUCCUCCUACACCUUCUCCCUUCCCUCAUCGGACGAUCCAUCCCUCCCUUCCAGCUCUACCCUCACCACCUUCACUGAGAUCCACUCCUUCCGCCACUUCCGAGUUGACAGCUUCUCAAAUGGCCCGACUACUCCUCGUCCACCCGGUGCUGUCCGCCGUCGUCCUCGGCCUCCUCGUCGCACUGUCCACCCCUGGCGCCUCCGCUCGCCCCUGCCGGAGCUUCCUCAUCUCCUCCUACACCUUCUACACCUUCUCAUCGGACGAUCCAUCCCUCCCUUCCAGCUCUACCCUCACCACCUUCACUGAGAUCCACUCCUUCCGCCACUUCCCCUCCAAGGUCUUCUUCACACGUAGCAUCAGUGAUUCCUCCGUCGGCAUGACAGAGCCCCGCCGCCGUUCCCCUGAAACUCGCCCCGCCGCGACACUCGGAUUCUCCGCUGAAGAAU